UAUUUAUAUAGUUUAAUCUUAAAACUUUAUUUUUUCAUAAUAAAAAUAAUAUUUUUUUAUUUAUAAAUAU
rnacentral:tRNA from 1 species